AGAACGAACGCUGGCGGCAUGCUUAACACAUGCAAGUCGAACGAGACCUUCGGGUCUAGUGGCGCACGGGUGCGUAACGCGUGGGAAUCUGCCCUUAGGUACGGAAUAACUCAGAGAAAUUUGUGCUAAUACCGUAUGAUGUCGAAAGACCAAAGAUUUAUCGCCUAAGGAUGAGCCCGCGUAAGAUUAGCUUGUUGGUGAGGUAAAAGCUCACCAAGGCGACGAUCUUUAGCUGGUCUGAGAGGAUGAUCAGCCACACUGGGACUGAGACACGG
rnacentral:rRNA from 1 species